rnacentral:rRNA from 1 species
UACGUAGGGUGCAAGCGUUUAUCCGGAAUUAUUGGGCGUAAAGAGCUCGUAGGCGGUUUGUCGCGUCUGCUGUGAAAACUGGGGGCUCAACCCCCAGCCUGCAGUGGGUACGGGCAGACUAGAGUGCGGUAGGGGGAGAUUGGAAUUCCUGGUGUAGCGGUGGAAUGCGCAGAUAUCAGGAGGAACACCGAUGGCGAAGGCAGAUCUCUGGGCCGUAACUGACGCUGGAGGAGCGAAAGCAUGGGGGAGCGAACAGG